rnacentral:rRNA from 1 species
UACGUAGGGUGCGAGCGUUAAUCGGAAUUACUGGGCGUAAAGCGUGCGCAGGCGGUUUUGUAAGCCAGAUGUGAAAGCCCCGGGCUUAACCUGGGAAUGGCAUUUGGGACUGCAAGGCUUGAGUGCGGCAGAGGAGACUGGAAUUCCCGGUGUAGCAGUGAAAUGCGUAGAUAUCGGGAGGAAUACCGAUGGCGAAGGCAGGUCUCUGGGCUGACACUGACGCUCAUGCACGAAAGCUUGGGGAGCAAACAGG